GGUACAGACAGCUCAGUGAUAGAGCACAUGCUUAGCACGCACAAGGUCCUGGGUUCAACCCCCAGCACUUCCA
rnacentral:tRNA from 1 species